GUAGAGUAGCAAGAGCUGAUUUCUGUAUGGAGCCAGCAUUGAGCUAGCACUACAAAAAACUUGAUUCGUGGUGAUUCUACUAGUGCAUACAUGUGGACGGUUUAGGUGAUAAUAUGUUUUCAGAACCAUUCAACUAAUUACCUCCUGUUCAUGAGUACGCUUUUCGGCUGUGUUGCAGGCAUUGGGCAGUUUGUUCAGCAUUUUGCAGAGCCUGGGGAUCCCGAAUAUGCCCCUCCUGUUACGAAGGGGGAAACUCCUGUAAGAUUUCUCAUCAGUAACUAUGCCCUGUGCUUUGGCUCGCUAUGCUGUUCUGCAUUUCACCCUUCUGUGUCAAUUUAUGUUAUAUGAAGUCACUACUUUUUACCCCUGUUUGUUCUUACAUAACUUGAUAUUUGCUUGUCUAUGUGUCAAUAGUAGUAAGUACAUUAUUUUCUUUUUCCAUAUAAGAUACAGACAUCAGCGAUCACUGAUAUAUGGAAGUGAACAGACACAAAGACGCGCUCGAAUUCAUCAACUCCGUUUGGAGGAAGGAGCUAAGAAGGCGCUUGAUGAGCUGUCAAAGUGUAUGUAUCGAUUUCAAGACAAAUUUUUGUUAGCUUUCUGGGCCUUGAUGCAAACCCCUAAGUGAUUCAAACUUGCAUUUUGAAACAUUAUGCACAUAUCUAGUAAGAAAUUAAGAGCUCAAGUUCUCUCGAAAUGCUGGUUUCUAAAACCUACUUAUCCUUUGGCUUUGGCAGAUGAUCCAACCAAUGAUCCAGAUAUAGAAGGAGAUCCUUACAAGACCCUUUUUGUAGCUCGCAUUGUAUGUCUUUUGAACAUUCUCUAAUUUUCUUUGUCUUGAAAAGCUGCACCUUGUAGUUCAGUGAAUUAUCUUUCAGAUUAUCCGCUUGUACUGUUGGCUGUAUUGAGUGUCUCCAGCGACUUUCAUACUACAGGAUGCCUUAAUGUUCUGUUGCAGUGACCUCUUCGAACAUCUGAAUGACGGUUCACCCUAUAUUUUAUCCCGGCAUGUUUCUUGCAGAGCUAUGAAACGACCGAACACAAAAUUCGAAGAGAAUUUGAAAGCUAUGGUCCUAUAAAACGUGUGAGUUGUCGACCCAACUUUUCAGAUCUUUCAUGCCCAUGUGUGUGAUGCUUUAGUGGAGUAUCGUUGUAAUGUAUAUUGUAAUUUAUAUAUAUAUAUAUAUAUAUAUAUAUAUAUAUAUAUAUUCCUUCUGGCUUCUCAAGUUGCAAAAGAUUUUGCGGAGUAAAAUUCAUCACUACUUGUUUUUUCAGGUCCGACUUGUACAUGAUAAAAUGUCGAAGACUCCUCGAGGAUAUGCAUUCAUAGAGUAUCAGCAUACGCGGGACAUGAAGAGUAUGUAUAGUUCUGCGCUUGUUUUUUCUUACUAAUGCCGUCCGUUUUGGUCAGAUGUGCUUACAAAGCUGGUUCAUUCUUGGUAACCUGUUUAUCUUAAUAGAUUUUUGAAUGCAAACACAUCUGUUGUGUACAGCUGCUUAUAAACAAGCCGAUGGUCGCAAGAUUGACAAUCGGCGAGUUCUUGUUGACGUUGAACGAGGCCGAACUGUACCCAAUUGGCGUCCUCGAAGAUUGGGUGGAGGUUUGGGAUCCACACGAGUAGGAGGCGAUGAAGUGAAUCAGAAGUACUCUGGACGGUGCGUUCUUCCUAACCUGGUGCUAAAUUUCAUAACUCCUAUUAAUAUGCACAAACAAUCUUAUUUAGCUAACGAAAUUCACAUGUGAAUUGACUGGUGUUGUUGUCUAGCCUCUGGCUGCUUUAAACGUAGAUGUGCCUGAGUUAUAGAAGAUGGAUGUGGAUGGCCUUAUGAAUAAUCAAUGCUGACACCGUACUCAAUGCCGCACUUUCUUCACCGUACAUAAUCAGUCUAAAUAUACUCGUGGUUUACUUGGUUUAGAGAGCCGCAACUGCUUACAGCUGCAACAGCCACCAGAUCAGAAGAGCCUAAGGCACGGGACGUUGUCAUGAAUUAUGAUGAUAGGUGAGACUGCCUUGCUAUUAUUAUUGGACUUGCCUUAUAUUCAUCAUUCUGACGGCUUCUGGGUUCCGGAACAUUUGGAUUGUCAUUCGAAUGUUGUCUUUCUUGAAGGAACUUGAUUGUUUUUAUGAUCCUAAGAAUUCCCAAAUGUAACGAGCUUCACUCCUCUUCUGCCUUGCCAUAGGGAUUUGGAGAAGCCGGAUAAGCGAGACAAGGAUCGUGAUUUCGACCGAGAACAUGAUCGAACGCGAGAUCGGGAUGAUGAUGGUUAUCGAGAACGCGAUCGUGAGAAAGACAGAGAUGAUCGAGAACGCGAAAGUGAUAGACAUCGGGACCGCCACCGUGAUCGUGGAGACCGUGAUCGUGGGGGUCGAGAGAGAGAUCGUGGUGGCCGUGAUCGGGAUCGCGAUUAUGACCGUGAUCGAGAAAGAGAUUGGGAGAGAGACCAUAUUGGACGGUCUCGUUCACGAGAAAGAGAGAGAGAAAGGUGAAUGAUUUUCUAACGACUAAACGAUCCAAGUUCUAGAGCCCCCAGAUGUUGCAAGCUCCCUCACUGGUUUAUGGAUUAAGUACUGUGUUUUAAUGUUGAUUGUCCUCGCCUUGGUUUGCAUACUUAAAGUUUUUUUCCUUCUUUUUUCACUUCUCUCGUUUUGUUCCUUCCUCUCUCUGGCUUCGGUCUAUCCAUGUAGACACUGACUAUCCACUAUUGUCCCUUGCAGAGAUCGCUGAUUUGCAGCAAGUAGAUGGAUGCACGAGCCAAGUUGGCAUGGGUAGCAUCCUUCUUACUCUGUGCUGAAUAGGAGUCGUUUGCAAUGAUUUGACAUGGUGUUCUAGCUGCAAAGAAGACAUCUUUUAUGAAGGAUGCUGAUCAUCGGUUGUGGGCGAAGUCUAGACGAAUGUUGCUUCUUUGGCUAUUUCAAGAAGAUACUGUUUAAGCAGUUGCUUUAAUGGUAUUUGUGAUCUACUAGACAAACGUUGUUUGUUGCAAAUAUGUUGCUCAUAUCCACGACACUGGAUUGCUUUGGGGGUUUAUCACGAGUCGGAAAGCGCAGGGAACCUGUAGUGCAUCGUUGUAUCUAUUAUGCUUCUAGAAAGUUAAGGGUGAUUCUUGUGGCCUUAUUUUAAAAUGUACCCUUUCUACAAAUCUGUGUAACAAGGCUUACACGACGUCGACAAGUUGUGAAGUACUAUCAGUUUUCUGAGACACAAGGCACUGAGAAUUACGCACUGCGAUCUCAGCAGAUCCCUGUUCACUUUUGUGAAUCAGCACAUACCUGUAUUGAUUGAUCGGUUCCCAACGUUUUCAGUUUGUUCUCGUGUUGUCGUGUUUAUGCUGCAUGUAUAUUCUAUACAUGUAGUUUUCAUAAAUGUAUCUCAUGAAGUAUGGAAGAAUGAUUUGGAUGCAGUACAUUUUAUACUUAGGUACAAUUGUAGCACUCAAGUGAUGAAUGAAAUGUCUGAGUUAAAAUUUUAAAAAUAUGCAAAAGUGCUCUUGUUUUUUUUAUAUGAGUCCUUUCGCAGACUAUUCUCCGUUUCAGGCUAAGUCGAAAGUUCUAGUUUCCAUGGGAUGCCUCUGUCUGUUACUGAUGGCAUCAUUUGGAAGACGUGAAUGUUGAAGUCUGUUUCUGAAGCCGUGGAGCCUAAGCUUUGACUUGAACGACACAUUUCCCAACUGUUUGCCUGAUAUCAUUCAUCUACGCAAUCAGUCAGUUUUUGCCAGUGCACUGAAUUGAAUGCAUGUCGUCCGUGUGUACCUUACUUGUUGGUAUAUUUUGAUUUUCUUGUCCCUUCUCUCUGACAACUCCACGUGGACUCAUUUAUAACAUUUCUUGAGCGGGGCAGAAGCUAGAGGGAUCCAUCAUCCAAAGAACUAGAGUUAUAAUUCAGGCCUAUUUCUUCCUCAGCGGAUUUGACACAAAGAAAUGACACUGCUGAAUUUCAUCGCUUAUCUUUUCCAUGAAUCCAGGGCAUCAUCAGUUAUAUUAAAUUUUGUUUUAUUUAAGGGCUUUAUUUUAUCCAGGGCAUGUUAGAUCGUGUUUUUUUAAGGGUGCUUUACAGCGGUGUCCUUGUGGACCCAAAAGUCAAACCAAAUUACAUUAAACCAACACUAAACUCUGCCAUUCUCUACUUCAAUGUUCGCGCAUUAAUGAAUAGAAUCAAUCAUCUAUUACAACUUCAACUUGCAGUCAGAACAUUCGUGUGGCAAUGAAAGUUAACCCAGCUGUAGCACCUGAAUUUGUACACUAACCAAUAACCUCACAGACGUUGGAUUGAUUAGAACCCAAACUCUGUCAUACAUCACUCUAAAUUGAAAACAUAAGAAAUUAUUUGAUGCUUCUCUAAAGUCUUGUUGGAAGUUUUGCAUGCCACCAUAUGUCUAUUCCUUUCCAAAUCAUACUAUUUUAAAACUAGGAUUAGGAGCUGUUCAAGCCAAAGAUUAGAUAUCAGAAUUUUCAGAUGUGAAUUAUUUUUUGCCCAUGGCCUUGCAAUCAUUGCACUGCACUAUCUGGUUACAAAAUAAAGAAAAUGGAAUAUUAAACCUGUCCAUGUGGCAUAUUGAGAAAACUUAUUCUAGAUCAACAACUCAAUGCAUUAAAGAUAAAAAAUCAUGGACACCUACCCAUUUAUUGCAACUUCAGGUUGAAAUUUGGCAUACUAUGAGACCAUCCUAUAGAUCUCCACUGGCCAUGGAUUUAAGUUACUCCCUUAUUAACCAUCCCCAAUCCUCUUCAAGCCACAAGUGACCUUUUCUGCAAGGCAGUGAGUGCCAUGGCUUCAAGGAAUCUGGAGACAUGGCAGCAGGAACAGUUGUACCAAAGAGAUCGUAGUGAGAGCACUUAGUCAAGGGGCGCAGAGUGCAAAUGCCAGUCACCAACUGUGUGCCAAAUGGGAUAACAUCCCUGUGUGGAUGGGGGCAUAAGCAGACCCAUCAGCUUGGUUCAGUUGCUGGGUGUGGGUCCUGUGAGACAAGUAGUCAAACAAAGCACAGAGUAGAGUAGUGGUAGUUGUGGUAAUGGUUGUGGUUUAGAUAUGGGUUUGGGUAAUGCUGUUGAGAGUGCAAGUGUAGGACAGGCAGUUUAAGUUCUAGGGGCAUUUUUGGGGGUGCCUGGUCAUGUUGUCAGAUGAACCCAUUUUCUUAGUACUCUCCACUGCCCCACAUGCCUUCUCUUGAUUACCAUGGAGGGCAAUUUCUUCUCUGCACCUCCUGCCUCACAAACUACACUAGUCUAUAAAUGUACUAUUGGCUAUCUCCUCUUCACUUCCCUUCAGGUAGUUGAAUGGACGUCACCAACAUCCUUGUGAGGGGGAAAAGGGGGAGCUAGGGAGUGCUUUCAGCUGGCAUCUCUCUCUCUCUCUCUCUCUCUGCCUUUUUCCUACAAAGCUAGAGUCCACAGUGACAGCCAAAAAUUGGAGCUGGUACUGGACAUGUUAUGCAGACAACAGGCAGAGUUGGACCAUGAAGUGGGAGUGGGGGCAAAGACAAAAAAGAAAAACAAAAAUGGGGCUGUCAUUGGAGGACUGGGAAUCACAAGCUAGAUGUGAGCAUCAGUGUCACUCACCCCCCCACCAUCAAAAGUACCAACUCUGCAACAAUCAAACAGAUGCAGAAGUCAGCCUCUUAAUCUCAUUUUUCUGUUUCAGUCUGUGUGUAGGUGAUUUUUGAGGUGAUUCUUGCUGUUGGUAGGCUGGGAGGCACUCCAAAGCAGUUAUCCACCAAAUCCUCUUCCCUUGUGUCUGUUUCUUCCUUGAAGGAAAACAUAGAGAGAAGGAAAAUAACGACGGAGGUAGGGCGUCAGGUGGUCAGUAAUUCGGUUUGUCAGAGACUCAGUCACGCACAGUUAAGAGCUACCAGUUGAGAGCCUCAGCACUGGUACAUACAUGCAGUGGGUUUGCUCUUUCUCCCCAAUCCAUCAAUGCCAUUCAGAAAGAAAAUGGAAGGAAGAAGCAGAGCAAUCCAAAGACAAACGCAGGAAAGACUCAACUUACUUCUCCCUCUUCUCUGUUUUCAUUUCUUAAUUUUUAAGUUUGUGCAAGACUGGGAUCCACAUUCUUUCCCUUCUCCUCCUUUUUCAAUAAAAAUGAACCAAGGAAUAAUACUACGGAUCACUGUGAAUUGGAAACUAAGCUAACAUGUGAUUUUACAAAUAAUUUUCUUAUUUUAUAACCUUCUGUUCCUUUUUCUGAAUUUUUUUAAAAAAAUUAGUUUUCCUUUCUUUCUUGUCCUUUUUGUAUUUUUGUAUUUUUGUAUUUUUUUUUGAAAUCACAUGUGGUUACUGAUUACAAAAAAAUCCAAACAGUUAAUGUCAAUUAUAUCACAUUUGCAUGUAAAACAAUUCCUGUUUGAAAUGAUUUGUGGAUUUCUUCUGUAAAUAACAAUAAUAAUAACAAAGGUCUUAUUUCUAAACUUUGAUGGUUGCUUAUUAUGUAUAUAUAUAUAUAGGGUAUUUCUAAUACCACCACAUUUAUUUUCUAUUGCCACUGCAACCCUCCACCCAUGUGACAUGUUUCUUUAGUUUUUAAAAAAAUUCCAACAAAACAAUUGUUGUGAUUUUUAAUAUAUAUGACCAUGGUGAGAUGUUAUGGAGGAAGUAACAAAAAGAAAAUUUUGACUAAAAUUGACUAAAAUUUUCAUGCAAUUGUGGUGGAGAUAGCAAAACUUGUUAUAUAAUUGUGUAUUAGGAUGUCAAGUACCUUUCUUCUUUUCAACAUUAAUUAUACAUUGCAAGAGAUAUAUAUAUAUAUACAUAUGCAAAUUUGAGGAAGUUGAAGAGGUGUUUGGGCAAGAAUUAAAAAUACACAUGAAUAAAACAAAUUAGAAUAACUGUGAUUUAAUUUAUUGUUUUCAUAUUGCCCAUUGUUAUGUUUAAACCAGACAAGCAAGAAUGUUUUGAGGUUGCACAAGCAAUAAAUUUCUUUACCCACAGAAUCAAGAAAGGGAUAAAAUACCUCUUUUCUCUAUAUCAGUUAUUAGUUGAUUGAUUGGAUGUUGGCCACAUAAUUUAAAACUUUGUGACUUGCACUUAAAUUUGUCAAUUGUAUAUUUCCCACACAUUGUAGGUAGACUCCUGUAGAAAAUUUCACUAAGGAUGUUUCCAUACCAACAUGGAAACAUUGACACAUGACAAUAUAUAUAUAUAUAUAUAUAUAUAUAUUGCAAGCAUGGGUCUUAGGUCCAAUAAACUCAAAUCUUGUGCAAUUUCUACAAAACUGAUUAAUUUUUACUAUCAUCAUCAUUGUGAUACUUUAUUGAGCUCCAAACCACCUCAUCACACAACUCACAUUAAAUGAAGUUUGUGGAUGCAGUUAGUGGUGCAAGUGAAUUUUUUAUGCAUUAAGUGAACAAGUCCAAGACUAAGCCACCAGGGUUGGAAUUCAAUGCAUGCUGCCCUGUCGUGCACAAAAAGCAAAGGCUUAUAAUAAAGAAAUAAAAUGUGAAGCAUCCACAAAUGUGAUCCAUGAUCACAAUCCAUGAUUUCUCACUUGGGAUUUUUUUAACCCCCUUAUAGAAAUCACAGUGCCUUGCAUGCCUUGUAAUGGCUGUGGCACCAACUCUUUUUGUUCCUGUCACUGAAGGCCUGUCUGUGAGACCUCUGCAUGCAACAGCAUAACUAGAACCUUCCACACUUUUAAUGGCAGGAAAUGGGCCUUGUGGAUUCUGGAAUGUUUCCAAUUCCGGUGUGUAUUUAUGUAUAUACAUAUAAACAAAAACAUGUAUUUCUCUUGAUUUUUGCAAUGGUUGUAAUUUCAAGUUUGCUUUGUGGUUUGGUGGUCGCAAAGUUCCAACAAAGCCCACUCCUGGUUUAAUCAAGUUAAACCAAACCUUGUGUGUGAAUCUAAUGUGCUUACAGAUUAUGAAUGAAUAAUUACUAUUAAAAUUGACAUCCAUAUGUAUCAAGAAUGCUACUGAAGUGUGUGAAUUUUUUAUCCAUUAUUCUCUCUACAUAUGUGGUAUCCAACCAUGUGGUAGCACUGUCAUCUUUAUUUCAAUUGCAGUAUGUUUUUUGUUCACUUAUUUGCUUAUGGAUUAUUUUUUUUGACAACAUAUCUUUUUAUAAAAUGAUACAACAUGCUAUAUUACAAUAAAAAAUUCCAAAAAUAUUAUAAACCAUCUUCAUCUAAUCAUACAUAGGUACCAAACAUUGGAUUGUAUUCAUACCCAAUUAGGAAUGAUUUUGCACCUGUAGCUAGCCAAUGCCUAAGAAUCCAUAUUUAGGUGAUCCAAGCAUGUUGGAUUCUUAUUUUUAACUUUGAUGUAUUUGGCAAGCUACAAUAUAAUCUAACAUCUCUGAUCAUAUACAGCACAAUGGUUGGAAUAAUUAUUGAAUCAGCAACAUGGACCAAGUUGGUCCAACAACUUACAAGAGUAUAGUUGCCAUGUAUUACUAAUUGGUGGAAAGUGGUCCUCCAGGGAUACUAUAUACUAAAACUUUAAACAUGAUAUGAAAUAGAAUUACAACAGUAUAAGUGUGAAAACAAAGUAAUUAGUACAAAAGAAAAAUGAAAGGUGUAGGAACAAAGCACUAAAUUUUUUUUCAAUUUCAAGAAUAGUUAGAUGAUUUUUAUUUUCUUUUAUUUCUUCUCUACCAGAAAAAUAAAUAAAUAAAUUAAUUAAUUAAAAUCUGGAAAUAUAAAUAUUUGGAUGUGUUAUACUUUUUCCAAAAUACAAUGUUCACUACUACUAACAAAAAGAUUAUAUUACUGGUAUUAUUAAAAAAAUGAUAAUUUGUUCCUUUGGUAAUAAAUUAUUGGUUUCAUAUACUUAAUCAUAUACUUAAUCAUAUACUUAAAAUAUUUGUCAUUAGUAUAAUUUUAAACUGUCUUAAUCAUAACUAUUUUGCGAGACCAAGUUAUUUGUCCACACAAAGAUUCUAAAUCAUAAAAUUAUACAUAUAUACCAUUUAAUUUUUUUAGUGUCAGGUCUCUUAUGAUUUUUUAUUUUGUUUUUAAAAAUAUACCAAAUUAUUUUUUCUUUUUUUAGGAUCUUAAAUUUUAUGUGGAGCUAGCAGCUGCAGUAAUUUUGAUUUUUUUUUUUUAAAAUAAAAUCACAAUAUUAAAUACAAUUGAAAAUUUCUUUACACCAAGAUAUUUAUAAGUAAAAUUGUAUAGCAAUAAAAAAAAAAAAACUAUCAGAAUUGAAAUAUUCCUUAAAUAUGGUUGCAGCUAAUUAAAUAUUUUAAAAUAAGAUAUUUUAUUGAAAAUACUUAUAAGCAAACAAUUGUUAAAGAAGAAUAUAAUACCAUUGUAUAAUUACAAUCUAUUGAAGCGUAAAUUUUUUAUUUGAAAAUUAUUAUAGUUAAAACCUUGUUAUAUAUAUAUAUAUAUAUAUAGACACAAUAUUAUCUAAAAAAGAAUGAUAACAUAUAACAUGUAAAAUACUUUGAAGAAUUAGGGACAAUGUAUUAUAUAGUAAAAUGUGUCGGAUUGUAACAUUAAGUUUUUUUAUAAAACAUAUUUUUUAAAAUUAUAAAUAAAUAAAUCAUAAUUAAUAACAAGCAAAAGUGUUUUUCAUGUAACAAAGAAUUAUAUUAUUUAAUACUAAGUACAAAGAUACUAAAAAUCUUUUUAAGUAGGCCAUGAGUAGAAAGAGAGGUGUUAAUAAGAAUAAGGAUUGUUCUAGUCUUGCCUACAAGUAUGAAAGAAAAAGAAGAGAAGAGAAUAGAAACAAAAACAUAUAGAAGCUUCAUAAGAAUUACAUAACUUACAAGUCAAGUGUAUAAGUUGUGGAAUGCUUUCAUGGUAAAUAAACUCCAACUUUUAAAUUAGAAAGCGUUUUCUUUAGAAUAAGGUUACAUUAUUGUUUUGCAGUAAUGAAUUAAUUUAAUUGAAUAUUGUAAAUAUACUGAACCAUUACCUUUGCAACCCAAUGCUGUUUUUUUGAAAACAUGUUAGAUUGGUUUGAAGUAUAAGAAUAUAUACAUUCUAUUUAUUUAUUUAUUUAUUUAUUUAUUUUUUGCAUCUUUUGGAGAUAGAUGUAAAUGAUAUUUUAAUUUAAUUUUCUUCUUCUUCUUUUUCUUCUUCUUCAGAGCUUCCACUUUGAGUUCUCACUUUGGCCUUAUUGAGACUUACAUGAUAACACCGGCCUCAAAUCUAACUUAUAUUGUAUACCAUUCUUCCCUGCAUUAAUUCAAUGUUUAAUUUGUUAUUACUGUCAUCAUCUAACAACUGUUGCAAGAUUGCAAAUACUUUAUUUCUAGAACCAUCUAAAUUCUAGGGUUCAAAACAAAACCAUACUGUACAGUAUACACAUUAUUGCACCACUAAACAAACUUUUUCAUACAAACAGGCAAGCAUGAGUGAUUGAUAAGCAUUCAAAUAGAUUAAUAAAUACGUGAUAGCACAUAAUAUCAUUCAUUGCAAGGAAGAAAGGAAGAUUAAAUAAAUAUACAUAUACAUACAUACAUACAUACAUACACAUAUUCAGCUUUCUGAAGCCAGAUGGGUGCAACUCUGGUGCCUAUCAGAAGAAGUGAAAAAACACACACAAAGGCUUCAUUCCGUUAAGGGUUGCCAUGGCUCAGAGUGUGGUGGCUAUGAGCCACCUACUUUCACUAUUGCUUAGCACACAGGAUUUGAAUGACAUUGAAAGGGAAACCUGUUCCCACUACUGCUUCUCUUUAUUGUCUACUUUUUUUCAUGCACUUGGGAGGCCGACUUUUUCAAUAUGAAGAACUAGGCUUGGAUGAUGCCAUGUGUGAAGCUUUGAGGUUUCAUAGACAUUUUUUUUUUUUUUAUUUGUGAAAGAUGAGUAGUAAAAUUUAGUCCAUGAGGGUUGGGUCAUGUGAAUGGAGUUGGUCCAUAAGAGAGUGAAUACAAAGUUAUUCUAAUUGGUCUACAUUAUUGAAUCAUGUGAAUUGAGUUGGUCACAAAAGGGGCUCAAAAAGGAGGGUCUAGCUUAAUUAGCAUGGGUGGGUGGACUUUUGUGAAAUUAAUGGAUGAAACCCCCCACCCCCCAUGGAAAUAUAAUGCUAGACUUCCUUACUUCUUUACCAUAGUUUUUACAAAUAUUGUUGCUUUCUUUUUUAGAAAGAGAGAGUUAAAAAGGAGAGUUGGUGCACAACUCAACAAGAGUGUGCAUAUGCUUGCUCAUCACCAAAAGCUUGACUCUUACUUCUUUCAAGAAAUAAAUACAAAGUUCCACUUUUUGUUUUGUUUUGUUUUUUUGUUUUUUUUGUUUAUAUAUUCUUUUUAAUUUAUUAUUUUUUCUGCUUAUUAUUGCCUGCAUUAUAUGUUACAAAGUGAGACUUCAAUUACAUCAUAUAAAUUAGAUUUUUAAAAAUGUAUUUGUUGUUGAUACAGAAGACCCAAAGAAUCCCACAAAGUCCAUAAUGGUUUCGUGGUUUUUGCCAAAAUAAUCCUCAAUACAAUGAUCUCCUCCAUGUUGUCAAUUGUUUCUUUUACUUCUUUUUGAUUUGUAACUCUUUGUAACUCUUUGUUAAUUCCCCAAAUCAUCAGAAGGAGAAAGUUACUGUAAUGACAGAGAAGCUCACUAUGCCUCUUUCAGAGCGCGGGUCUGUUAUUCAUGUUGCAACAGAAGAAGGGUCACACUCUUUUUUCCUUCUUCUUCAUGGAGGUUUUGGGGUUAUUCUUUGAGCUAUUGUAUGCAUGGUUGCAUUUACCUACACUAUCCUUCUAUUCUGGUUGAACAUGAUGUUUUAACCUACAUUACAAGGCAAUAGACAGGGAAAACUUCUUUUGGGAAUCCACAUGGCAAAAUAAAUAGCAAAAAAUGACCCUAAAUAGUUCUACAAAUAAGUACAAAUAAAAUAUGCCAUGUUUUGGGCAUUAAAUAAGUUAACCCUAAAACUUUAACUACUUGCAACCUUACUACUCUACUUCAUAACAAAAAAAAAAAAAAAAAAAAAAAAAAAAAAAUCCUUCCAUUUAAGACAUUAUAUUCUUCUGUCAAAAUACACAUCUUCAAACUAUUUCAACCUUGCCAUUGUCUAUUAUGUUUUUGCUUCCAUUGCAAGCCAUGAAGUCUUCUUCUGCAACAAUAGUAUGAGUCUGUCUUAAUGCUGUGCAUGACUGACUUAGCCACAAUGGAUGUUGUUUCCUCAUUGAAUUAGGGUUUGUCUUAAUUCUUCUGCUCUCCUGUUGGAGGACAAACAACACAAAUUGCUUGUGCUGAGAGAGAGUGUGUGUGUGUGAGUGUGUUUGUGAGUCAGUUUUUGCCUCUGGUGAUGAUGCUGGAAGGUAAAAAACAUUCACAUUAUGAGCCUUCAGAGACACUGUCAGACAAGGAUACCCAGAAAAAACCAACUUUAGGAUCUCAUCAUUCAAACAAACAGUGCAAAAGAGAAGGGGUUCUGCCGAUCAAUGGGAGCUUUGCAAUUCAUUUAUAAUGAAAAGAUACUCACUAAGAAAGAGAACAAAUAGGAAAAAGAAAAAAGUUGAAGGAUUUGAGAGUAGUUUUGUAUGUUUCUUUCUUUUGUGUAUAUACACAUACACAUGCACAACAACUUAACUGAAAAAUUCAAACAAAUUCCAAUGCAUGUAUGUUGAUAUCAAUGUAUUUAACCUUUGAGCAUUACAAGAAUACUGAUUAGAAGAAGCACCAUCAUACUAUUCUUUUCAGAAACAUUUACUAAGAAAUCAUGAGGUUCUCUGAAACCUCAUUAAACAUAUCAACAAAAAAUAAAAUAAAAUAAAAUAUGUAUGUCUAUUUUGAGUGGAAAUUUAAACAAAAAGCAAUCUGCACAAGCCAUGGCUUUUGUGCAUUUGAAAUGUAGCUAAAAUGCAAGUCACAAGAGGAAAAGAAAGAUGUGUGUAAGAAUAUGACUUGAGUGGCUCAUUUAUGAUCUCAAAAUCAAUCUGUGAAGGCAGACAAUCAUGUAUUCAAUGCUUUGGCAGUAUGAUGAUGCUAUUUAAAACAAUGUU
rnacentral:lncRNA from 1 species